UACGAGAGGCCCAAACGUUAUUCGGAAUUACUGGGCUUAAAGAGUUCGUAGGCGGCAUUGCAAGUAGGGUGUGAAAGCCCUCGGCUCAACCGAGGAAUUGCGCUCUAAACUGCAGUGCUCGAGGAAGCUAGAGGUGAGCAGGAACAGAUGGUGGAGCGGUGAAAUGCGUUGAUAUCAUCUGGAAUACCGGAGGCGAAGGCGGCUCACUGGG
rnacentral:rRNA from 1 species